AUCUAUGGCCAUACCACUCCGAAUGCUCCCGAUCGAGUCUGAUCUCAGAAGCUAAGCAGGGUUGGGCCUGGUUAGUAUUUGCAUGGGAGAAAUUCCAUUCCACUUAACAAAUGGCUGCUGAAUUUC
rnacentral:rRNA from 1 species